AUUGAACGCUGGCGGCAGGCCUAACACAUGCAAGUCGGGCGAGAGGCGGACGGGUGAGUAAUGUAUGGGGAUCUGCCUGAUGGAGGGGGAUAACUACUGGAAACGGUAGCUAAUACUGCAUACCAUCAGAUGAACCCUUAUGGGAUUAGCUGGUAGGUGGGGUAACGGCUCACCUAGGAGACGAUCCCUAGCUGGUCUGCGAGGGUGAUCGGCCACACUGGGACUGAGACAGGGCCCAGACUCCUACGGGAGGCAGCAGUGGGGAAUGUUGGGCAAUGGGCGAAAGCCUGAUGCAGCAAGGCCGCGGGUAUGAAGAAGGCUUUCGGGUUGUAAAGUACUUUCAGUCGGGAGGCGGUACCGACAGAGAAAGCACCGGCUAACUCCGUGCCAGCCGCCGCGGUAAUUC
rnacentral:rRNA from 1 species